CCACAAAUAUUCUUUAGUUUAGAUAGCGAAUAUUUAGAUACACUCUGUUUUAGCGUAGAAAAUGAAUUUUAGCGCACAAACUGAAUUAGCGCAGAAACCAUUGCAAAAACUGUUUUUUGGUUUCUUUGCUUUCUUUAAGUGCAGGAAUUUAUUUAUUUUCUUUCCGGAGCCGCGGCCGCCGCCCUGUGACCAGAAGAAUUGGGGAUCUCGAGAGGGAAUUUUGCAGUUGUGGCCAUUUUAAAAAUAGACCUCUGUGAAAUCUAUGUACUCCUGAUACUAUUAUAUCAUGCUGCAUUUCCUGUGAUAUAUCAAAUAUCUAUCCUUUGUCCUAAACAAGAGGCCUUACAUUUAUACUGAGCAAUACUAAUUUGGUGAGUAUAUAAUAUUGCAAUGCUUAUAACCCUUUGGUCAGUGGCCCAUCUGAAUUGAGAUGCAUCAUAGUUGUCUUAAUAUUAUUUAUUCUGUUUCUUACUAUCUGAUCCAUCCCACACAACAAGUAUUCUUCCUGAGAACUAUGCUCAGAUAGUUGAAUAUAUUAUUUUGUACUUAAUUGUUGAAAGAUGGAUUUGUAUUACUAAUGCUGAGAUGGGCAUUACAAUUUUCUUUCAAGGGAACAGACCAAACCAAACUGCGACUUUAUUUGUAAAUAUUUGAAAUUUAUAUUAUGUCUCUUAUGUGAUCUCAGAGGACUUAAUUUUUAUGUGGGGACAUCAAGCUACCUUUAGUGACUUACAAGCUAUCAACCAACAAGAGUUUUCCCUUCUUUUGGAGCCUGCUAAGCUAUCAACAAACAAAGAGGUACUAUGCUGAGACUGAAGAGGAUGCUAGCCAGCGGCCCACCUCUCUUGUCGUCACCGCUGAGCCGCCAUGUCUCCUUCAGAGGCCUACUGUAUUGCUACAUGUUUAUGCUUCUUAUCCACUCACCCAUUGUAGUGUAGGUCUAUUGCGGCAAUUGAAUGCUUCAAAGGAUUUUAAUGGAGUUCAUUGUAGCUGAGUCGUGAAUCUCCAGCUUGCUUCCAUGUCUUUUCUCACUAGAGACACCUCCUGCCGGCGAUGGCGAUGACCGCUACCCUGCUCCUCUCCCGGCAAAGGCAUGUCUACCUCUCCUGUGAAGUUAAGGCCAUCUUUGCCUCUUCCUUCAGUUUUUCCUCUGUUUUUUGUUACACGACUUUGUGGUGCUUAGUGUAUAUAUCAUUCCCUCCUGUCCAUUGAUUGAACAACUCUGCUACAUGUGAUUGCAUUAGCAAACUCCAUUUUUGUGUAUGUAGAAAAACAAAGGAAACUCCAUUUUUGUGUAUGUGGAAAAAACAAAGGAAACUGCAUUUUUGUGUAAUUACAAACAAAUGAAACUCCAUUUUUUUGUAAUUACAAACAAGAGACUUUUAGAUGGCGAAGACUGCUGCCCUGAUCCUAAGAGCCUACUGACAUUUUACCAAAUCUUGUUAUAAUUUUUUUUAUCAGCAGCAGAUACUUUUAAAUUUGUCUUUACAAUUCCAAGUACAUGACCAUACAGAUCCUUCUAUUUUUGAUGUAGCAGAACAAAUGUUCGUAAUUUAUACACCCAGGCUCAGCUUCUCUAUAUUGAUAAGAAGGUCUGGAGCGUGUUUCUUUUGUUUUCAACUCGAGGGGACCAGGUAGGACCAUAUAAACACAAUAAAAUGCCAGUUUCUUUGUUCCACGCCCUGACACCCAUCCGUGACCUCGCGCCGCCGCCUUCGCUCCUCCCGCACUCGCGCCGCCCCCUCUUCCCUUCCUCCCGCCUCGCCUUCCUCUCUCUCCCUCCAAACCCUAGAACCGCCCACGCUUCCCUGCCCCUCUGCCGUCCAGGUCCAGCCCCACGCCGUCGUCGUCUCCUUCGCCCAGCCGGCCACUGAGGUAUGAUGCGACCCUUGCCCCCGCCGUCUCCUUGGCCCAGGCUAACCCAAGCGCCACGGUCGCCACGCCGCUGCCGACUCCUCGGCAGGAGGAGGAGGAAGAGAGUUUGAACAGGGCUGCGAUGGUUCCUGCACGGCGUGAUGCCGGUUAAGGGUAGUUGCCCAUGGUGUUCCUGCGACUGCUAUGUAGGCGGAUUUGGAGGUUGAACCUCUUUCCUCUCUAUUCGUUUGGUACAACAGCUUGUUCUAUGUGACCACGACAGGGAUGGAGCUCUCAGUGAUGUGGAGCUCAAUGACUUUCAGGUCAGAUGUUUUAGCGCUCCUCUCCAGCCUACUACUGAAAUAUCAGGCAUGAAGAGGGUUGUUCAAGAGAAGUUGCCCGAAGGCGUAAAUGAUAGUUGCCUUACAUUGACUGGGUUCCUUUUCCUUCAUGCUCGGUUAUGAUAAUGAAAUCAUGCUUAGAGAUGAAUUCGUUCCAACGUCGGUCAAGCGAGCUCCUGAUCAAUUUGGCCCAUGAGCUUGAGGAUACGUGCUUUCUUGACCUUGGGACACACCGUCCUCCUCCACCAGCCGCCUAACAAGUCCGUCCUUCUUUAGCAGCAGAAACUGAAGCAGCUAGGGUUCACCACAUAUUGCCCAUUAUAUUUAUUUUUUCUACCCCUCUUCCACCAACAAUUACCUUGCAAUAAUGUAGUUCCAAUCUUUGUUUUGUACAGUGUUUCUUAAUCCUGGUUCGCUUCAAUUGAUUGAUUUAGGCAGAUCAUGGAUGUUGCUUCUCACAUUUCUGUUUGGGGAAUUCUUCAAUUGAGAAAUUGAAAUGACUGCUGGUUAGGCACCUCAAGUCACUUUGAUACUAUCAUCAUUCAAAAUAUGUGCAAACAAGCCCAUUGGUGCUCAACAUGGAUACAUGCUUUCUUGACCUCACGUGAUACGCUAACCUAAUCCGCCGGCCGCCUAUAGGUCUUUGUGUGUGUGUGUGUGUGCGCGCCUAUGCCAUUAAAGCAGGCGGAGGUGCAACAAUGGAGGAUCCAACCAUUGGUGGAGAUCGAUAUAAGGCUAAGUAACUAAUUUUUUGCUUUUGCUAUCCUGAAUUUCUAUGUGGCACAUUAUGUGUGUGUGUGUGUGUGUGUGUGUGUGGAAUUGCUGUGACAUGCUUUUUUCAAUUAUACUCACAUUCUUUGCUUUAGUGGAUUAUUCUAUGCUUGCCCUGUUAACCAUCUUCUUCAUUUAUAAAGAACCUUCAGUGUUUCAUGAUAUUUCAUAGGAUUCUCAUUUUAACAUUUUUAGUGAGAGUCUCUUAAACUAUCUGGUUAGAAGAUAGGUGGAAUAAAUACAUGGUGGUUAAAUCUGAAGCAUAUACGUAUUAUUUCGAGGAAGAGUCCAGUCCGUGUACCUGCAUUGUUGCUACUUGAAUUUUAUUUUCUCGGCUGUAUGGAAGUAUUAGUUCUUUUCAAGUCAAUAUGUUGAUUGACAGAAUAACUAGAAGAUCCACUUGUUGGAAUGGUGCAACUUUAACAGAAUGCACGUGAUGGCAGGAUACAUGCAAAAAUAAUAAUUUGUGUUAUUAAUCGCCAGCAA